UACAGAGGUGGCAAGCGUUGUUCGGAAUUACUGGGCGUAAAGGGCGCGUAGGCGGCCUACUAAGUCGAACGUGAAAUCCCCAGGCUCAACCUGGGAACUGCGUCCGAUACUGGCAGGCUUGAAUCCGGGAGAGGGAUGCGGAAUUCCAGGUGUAGCGGUGAAAUGCGUAGAUAUCGUAAGGAAGACCAGUGGCGAAGGCGGGUCACUGGACAGUUCCUGACGCUGAGGCACGGAAGGUCAGGGGAGCAAACGGG
rnacentral:rRNA from 1 species